GAUGAAGAACGCAGCGAAAUGCGAUAAGUAAUGUGAAUUGCAGAAUUCAGUGAAUCAUCGAAUCUUUGAACGCACAUUGCGCCCCCUGGUAUUCCGGGGGGCAUGCCUGUCCGAGCGUCAUUACAACCCUCAAGCUCAGCUGGGUAUUGGGCCCCGCCGACCCGGCGGGCCCUAAAGUCAGUGGCGGUGCCGUCCGGCUCCGAGCGUAGUAAUUCUUCUCGCUCUGGAGGUCCGGUCGUGUGCUCGCCAGCAACCCCCAAUUUUUUUCAGGUUGACCUCGGAUCAGGUAGGGAUACCCGCUGAACUUAAGCAUAUCAAUAAGCGGAGGA
rnacentral:misc_RNA from 1 species